rnacentral:rRNA from 1 species
GNAUUUAUUGGGCGUAAAGGGAGCGCAGGCGGUUUAGUAAGUCUGAAGUUAAAGGCAUUGGCUCAACCAAUGUAUGCUUUGGAAACUGUUAGACUUGAGUGCAGAAGGGGAGAGUGGAAUUCCAUGUGUAGCGGUGAAAUGCGUAGAUAUAUGGAGGAACACCGGUGGCGAAAGCGGCUCUCUGGUCUGUCACUGACGCUGAGGCUCGAAAGCGUGGGUAGCGAACAGGAUUAGAUACCCUGGUAGUCCACGCCGUAAACGCUGAGUGCUAGGUGUUAGGUCCUUUCCGGGACUUAGUGCCGACGCUAACGCAUUAAGCACUCCGCCUGGAGAGUACGACCGCAAGGUUGAAACUCAAAGGAAUUGACGGGGGCCCGCACAAGCGGUGUAGCAUGUGGUUUAAUUCGAAGCAACGCGAAGAACCUUACCAGGUCUUGACAUCCCGAUGCCCGCUCUAGAGAUAGAGUUUUUCUUCGGAACAUCGGAGACAGGUGGUGCAUGGUUGUCGUCAGCUCGUGUCGUGAGAUGUUGGGUUAAGUCCCGCAACGAGCGCAACCCUUAUUGUUAGUUGCCAUCAUUAAGUUGGGCACUCUAGCGAGACUGCCGGUAAUAAACCGGAGGAAGGUGGGGAUGACGUCAAAUCAUCAUGCCCCUUAUGACCUGGGCUACACACGUGCUACAAUGGUUGGUACAACGAGUCGCAAGCCGGUGACGGCAAGCUAAUCUCUGAAAGCCAAUCUCAGUUCGGAUUGUAGGCUGCAACUCGCCUACAUGAAGUCGGAAUCGCUAGUAAUCGCGGAUCAGCACGCCGCGGUGAAUACGUUCCCGGGCCUUGUACACACCGCCCGUCACACCACGAGAGUUUGUAACACCCAAAGUCGGUGAGGUAACCAUUUAU